UACGGGGGGGGCAAGCGUUGUUCGGAAUUACUGGGCGUAAAGGGCUCGUAGGCGGCCAACUAAGUCGGACGUGAAAUCCCCGGGCUUAACCUGGGAAUUGCGAUGGAGACUGCAAGGCUGGAGUCUGGCAGAGGGGGGUAGAAUUCCACGUGUAGCAGUGAAAUGCGUGGAGAUGUGGAGGAACACCGAUGGCGAAGGCAGCCCCCUGGGUCAAGACUGACGCUCAUGCACGAAAGCGUGGGGAGCAAACAGG
rnacentral:rRNA from 1 species